UACGUAGGGUGCAAGCGUUAAUCGGAAUUACUGGGCGUAAAGCGUGCGCAGGCGGUUUGGCAAGACAGAUGUGAAAUCCCCGGGCUUAACCUGGGAAUUGCAUUUGUGACUGCACGGCUAGAGUGUGUCAGAGGGGGGUAGAAUUCCACGUGUAGCAGUGAAAUGCGUAGAUAUGUGGAGGAAUACCGAUGGCGAAGGCAGCCCCCUGGGAUAACACUGACGCUCAUGCACGAAAGCGUGGGGAGCAAACAGG
rnacentral:rRNA from 1 species